rnacentral:lncRNA from 1 species
CACGAGGCCUAAUAGUCCAUCGGGCCAACCCAUAGCCCGCUAUAUGAAAAACACUAGAUUUAAUAUAGAAUUUAACAAAGCACAUAUAAAUCACAUUUAAGUUACAAACCUUGACACUUCACAAUUCACAUAACACAAUAUACUUCACAGAUCAUAUUUCACAUGUCAAAAGUAACAAGUUUCACAAGUCAUAGAACUUGACACUUCAAGUUUCACAAGUUUCC